rnacentral:rRNA from 1 species
ACUUAGAUUGGCUGUUGAAUGCAUCGGUUCUCGUCCGAUCACCGAAGUUAAGCAACGCCGAGCCUAUUUAGUACUUAAAUGGGUGACCGCUUGGGAAACCCAGGUGCUGUAAGCA